GGCAGCCAAGCGCCGGAUAACCCAAAGCAUUCGAAAGAUUGCAGGCGAGAGAUCGCAAUUAUGGGCCGGGGGGCUGCUUUUUU
rnacentral:ncRNA from 1 species